CCCCAGGAGAAACCACAGGUGGUCUCCGCUACAGGUGAAGUGUGUGUGGAGGUUGCCAUGGGGACAGCGGUUGGCAACAGUGACGUGUGGUUCCGCUUCAACGAGGGCGUGUCCAACGCCGUGCGACGCAACAUCUACAUCAGAGAACUGCUAUAACACACACACACACUGUACACACACACACACACACAACAUCUACAUCAGAGAACUGCUAUAACUCACACACUGUACACACACACACACACCGUACACACACACACACACACUGUACACACACAACAUCUACAUCAGAGAACUGCUAUAGCUCACACACACACACACACACCGUACACACACACACACACACACCGUACACACACACACCGUACACACACACACACACACACCGUACACACACACACCGUACACACACACACACACACACCGUACACACACACACCGUACACACACACACACACACACCGUACACACACACACACCGUACACACACACACCGUACACACCGUACACACACACACCGCACACACACACACACACACCGUACACACACACACACACCGUACACACACACACACACACACCGUACACACACACACACACACACACACACCGUACACACACACACACACCGUACACACACACACACACCGUACACACACACACACACACACCGUACACACACACACACACACACACACACACACACACACUCCAUCUCAUACACCUUAGAAUGUUAGUAUAUAAAUGACCACGAGUCAAUCUGUCAAACCACCUCUUUAUUAUGUUUGAUUGACAGUGGAAACAAGCCAAUAAAAACAGUGUAUUCUGAUUGACAGUGGAAACAAGCCAAUAAAAACAGUGUAAACAA